CCCUGUAGCUCACUCAGGAACCACUGUCAGGCACAGAUUUCAAAACCUAAGUCCGAUGUCAGAAGACAACCAACCAACAGAAAAACCAACCACUUUCUCGUGACAGCCACUUUGAUCCAAGAACGCCUCCUCCAGUCUGAACAUCAUGGACUCCAACCUUCUGGAACCAUUAGGCCCGGCAUAGAUUGUCCCCCUUUAUAAGUUGCUUCCGUGAUGGUGUCUCUUCAGAGCAACAGAAAACUACAACGCAUCCCAUGGUACAUUCUACAUCCAUCAACCGCCACCAUGUGCCAGGCACUGGGACUAAGUGAGCCCUAGGAACCACACAGAGGUGACACCUUAGACUACUCGGUCAAGCCAGCCUUGGCCCAAAGGUCUAGCUCAGAACUGUACACGUGGACGGUGUUAACAGCUACCUGCCUGACACUCCUGGGUCUAAAGUCAUCUACAAGGUAGACCUCUGGGCACAUCUGUGAGGACAUUUCUAGAAUGAGUUAAUUGAGGUAUGAAGACUCCCAGACGUGGGCUUCCGAACGUGGGCAACAAGGUUCCAAGUGCGAAGUCCAAGACUGUGAAGUGGAGAAGACCAGCUGAGCAGUAUCCCUCUGCUUCCCGACUGGGGCUGUAAUGCGACCCUCUGCCACCACAGAUUACAGGUUCCAACUGUCAGCUAAAAUAGACCUUAGCUUCCAGGAA